UACGAAGGGGGCUAGCGUUGUUCGGAAUUACUGGGCGUAAAGCGUGCGCAGGCGGCUUUCCAAGUCAGUGGUGAAAGCCCGGAGCUCAACUCCGGAGAUGCCAUUGAAACUGUGAAGCUUGAGAACGAGAGAGGUGAGUGGAAUUCCCAGUGUAGAGGUGAAAUUCGUAGAUAUUGGGAAGAACACCAGUGGCGAAGGCGGCUCACUGGCUCGUAACUGACGCUCAUGCACGACAGCGUGGGGAUCAAACAGG
rnacentral:rRNA from 1 species